UUAUUGGAGAGUUUGAUCCUGGCUCAGGACGAACGCUGGCGGCGUGCCUAAUACAUGCAAGUCGAGCGGGGUUUAUUAGAAGCUUGCUUCUAAUAAACCUAGCGGCGGACGGGUGAGUAACACGUAGGCAACCUGCCCACAAGACAGGGAUAACUACCGGAAACGGUAGC
rnacentral:rRNA from 1 species